rnacentral:rRNA from 1 species
AUUGAACGCUGGCGGCAGGCCUAACACAUGCAAGUCGAGCGGAUGACGGGAGCUUGCUCCUUGAUUCAGUGGCGGACGGGUGAGUAAUGCCUAGGAAUCUGCCUGCUAGUGGGGGACAACGUUUCGAAAGGAACGCUAAUACCGCAUACGUCCUACGGGAGAAAGCAGGGGACCUUCGGGCCUUGCGCUAUCAGAUGAGCCGAGGUCGGAUUAGCUAGUUGGUGGGGUACUGGCUCACCAAGGCGACGAUCCGUAACUGGUCUGAGAGGAUGAUCAGUCACACUGGAACUGAGACACGGUCCAGACUCCUACGGGAGGCAGCAGCGGGGAAUAUUGGACAAUGGGCGAAAGCCUGAUCCAGCCAUGCCGCGUGUGUGAAGAAGGUCUUCGGAUUGUAAAGCACUUUAAGUUGGGAGGAAGGGCAGUAAGCUAAUACCUUGCUGUUUUGACGUUACCGACAGAAUAAGCACCGGCUAACUCUGUGCCAGCCGCCGCAGUAA